rnacentral:misc_RNA from 1 species
GACAAAUUCAAAUAACAUUCUUUGAUUUAUAUCGCAUAUACUUUCUCUCUUCUUCCACAAAUGAGAUAAGUAAUCUGUUUUGAUUUCAAAAUUUUUCUCAUUAGAUAAAUCCAUGUGUAGCAAGCACUUAAAUAUAGAAACUUGAAUAUUAACGUCUAAGCAUGUUUCAAGCUCUUAUUGAGGCAAUAAUUCUACCCAUGAUUAUUAGAGUACCAUUCAAUUAU